UCUUCCAUCUGUGGGUUUACUCCCCAGAUGGCUACAAUGGCCAGGGCUGGGCCAGGCUGAAGCCAGGAGCCAGGAGCCACUUCCAGGUCUCCCAUGUGGACGCAGGGGCCCAAGGACUUGGGCAUCUUCCACUGCUUUCCCCUGGCCAUUAGCAGGGAGCUGGAUAGAAAGUAGAGCAGCCAGGACUCCAACCAGCACCCAUAUGGGAAGGUGGCAUUGCAGGUGGCGGCUUAGCGGGCUGCACCAAAACGCAGGGCCCUGUACUCUCCCUUUCUAUGUGGUAACUUUGUAACUUGCCCAGGUAAGUGAAAAUACGAGGUGUGUCUGACUUACUUCACUUGACACAAUGUCCUCUGGUUUCAUCUGUGGCUGCAAAUGAUGUAAUUUCAGUCUUUGAUGGCCAAGUGACGUCCAUUGCUAAACACACCACUUUCUUCUCUGAGACUCGUCUCACUGGUGUCCAGUGCCUACUCAAUCUGCCUUCCUGAGGUCCUACUCGCCCAGAAACUUCUUUUCUCACGGCCCUUGCCGUGGCCGCUAACGCGGGGCGUGGUCCCACCCGGCCGGCAGCACCAGCAGACCACGUGUUUGUGAUACCUCACAGGCUGCGUUUCACUGGGGCCCUGAUGCCCUUCAUUUAGGAAUCACACUUCACGGGAUUAUGGCGAGGAGCUAAUAAGCCGAGAGCCCCUUGUGGACUAUACAAUGCUGGAUAAACGUCCAUUAAAUCUGGGUUAUGUUAUUCCUGUGUCUCCUGAAUAUUUUGUUCCUCCUUUCGAGGGCUUGAGUUAUCUUGUAUACUUCAUGUCAUGUAUUCCUGCCACAUCCUGAGAAGGUCACGAGCUAAUUCUUGGUUUAAUAAACUUUUACCUUCUGACUGUCCAUUAGCUAUCUCUCCCUUUAGAAGUUGUGCAAAGUGACAGCAGGGUUGACUUUGAGGCCUUCUAGGGUUUUCUGCUUAAAUUCUUUCCAAGGGAACCCAAUAUGAAAAGUACAAAGGAGGAGGAGAUGGCUUUUCAUGGCAUCUCGCUCUCUCCCUCGCUCUCUCCCUCUCUCUUUGCAGGUGGCAACACACUUUGACAAGGGAUUUGAAGACAUAAAAAUAAAUCUGAUAAUGAAAACAGUGGGCUGGAAUCUGUUCUCUGAGUAAUAUAUUCUUUAGGGCUAGCCAGGCCCCCAGAAUUCUAAAGUAGUAUCUGGACGAAGGGGUUACCUAGUAAUCUCUGUAAAUCCGUGUGCCUAGUGUUCCAUGGAAUUGUAGUGCUGGAAUUUACGCGAAAUCAUCCCCUAGGCAGUACCUGUUACUGGGGAGAAUCCGUGUGCCAGCUCUGCGGGGCGUUGUGUUUAUUUGUACCGGUAACCACAGCAUUUGCUGUAUUGUAUCCUAACCCCCUAACCCGGGCACUGAUUUCAUUUCCCAUGAGAACCUUGGUGCCUUUCUUCGUCCCCAUCCUCCACGAGGCUUUGGCUUUCCUGAGAACAGACCCUAAACCCUAACCCUAACCCUAACCCUAACCUCCCUCACAGCUUCGUCUGCAGUGCUCAGCGCAGUGGGUGGCAGGGCUCAGGCCCACAGAUAGUUGUCAAGUAGCUGAAUGCAUCCAUGGUCUUAGGAAGAGUAAAAAGAGAAUCCCAAUGACCCUGACCCCGGGGGCGUGUGUUGGGUCUGGACAUCUUAGAACUUGAGGUUCCGCCUCUUGUUCAGAUUGUGUGCUUUUUGGAUUGGUAGGAAUUUCGGUAUUGGGGAUCUCAUAUCUUGGCAGUGUGGAUGGUGUUAAAGGCAUUGGAAACACAUAUCAAUAUGGGAACUCUCCCAACUGAAGUUACCUGCAGCAGGAUUUAGGUGGGGGAGGGUCUCACCGAAUCUCCAGACGAAUUUUUCCACGGGGACCCUGUGAGGUGCGGGCAUGCAGGAGUGGGAGGUGAUGAGUUGGAGUUGAGGAAUGGAAAGAAGAGCUCUGGGAGAGAAAUCCUUAACUUCCACCGGAUGUGAAAGAGGAGAAAAAUGAUAAAGUUUUAACCACGAAGGCGGAGAUCAGGGUUACAGAAGAGUAAUGUAACUGGUAAUGCAUAUUCACAUUUCUCUGUCUUCAGCAACAACAAACAGGUGACAGCGAGCCAUCAUAAACGUUUUUCAUGAUUUUGAGAAAAUAACGGGUUGGCUUAGAGAAACGCUAAAUGGUAGAACUGGAAGGAAAAUCAGAGACCAACUAACUCAGCUUCUUAAUUUUACUGAUGAUGAAAUCAAGGCUUUCCCAAAGGGUUUUAGUGAUCUUAUGUUGCUUCCCAUAUUUAUUUUGGGAAUCGUGUGGAAUGCUCUGUGCUGUAUUGAGAUGGGUCAAACUGCAUAGGAGGUCAAGCACAACUCGUGGUGCCAAUCAACAGAGUGAACCAGACUGUGGCAAUGUGAAAGCUGAGUAAGCAGUCAUUUAACUUCCUUCCUCCAAAUCGUAAGCACCUCCUAGGCUGCUUUUCCACAGGGAUUUAGAGAACCUCUCCUACAAACCUUACACACCGCAGUAUGGCGGGCGCUUGCAAAUGCGGAGCUAAUUAGUGUUUUUCUUGGCAAUCGCCUAAUGUGUGUCGUCAUCUUAAAUCUAUAUCAAGACAGUUUGAUUCCCAAUGUAAACAGCAUUUUAGGGAAAGGUGUUCUUUGAAGUAUCCUAAACGUUACCUGUUUCCACAAGGCAGGGUUUUCGAUGCUGACCCCGAGACGGUAGCACAUCCCUGUCUCUGGUAGACCGGUUAGAUCAGCACAAGUAUGCCUGCCCGAGUUGUCCUCAAUUCACAGAAAGUUGUGAAAAGCUUGCAUUUCAUGGCUGCUCCGAGCCCUCAUGAGCGAUGCAGCGUCUCUGACAGCCACGGAACUUUAGCCCACAUCCUGUGGGAUUCUGGGGGUUUCUGUGGUCCAGUGUGUUCAUUCUGAACACGGGUAGGCUUCUUAGGCUUUCGGUGCUGUCCAUCCGGAUUAAGAAUGUAAAUUGAUGCUAACUGCAUGACUGACAUCUAGUGGAUGAACGCCAGUGUCGCUCCUUACCGUUGGGGUUCCUCCUGGGCAGGCUUGCUCCCUGGGUCCUCAGAACGUCACACGAGAAGCCUUUGUCUAAAACACAGAGCCGUGUCCCCAGAUACUAGGAAAAUGACGAGGUUGGCAACCUUCUGACAUGGACGAAUAUUCACUUUAUGGAGACUUGAAAGAAUGAAUAGUAGCACUGAGUUGGGAAAAAUGAUCUGAUAUCAAAUGUACAUUUCUUUAGUUUGUGGCAAAGGAUUGAAAUAUAUUGCUAUGGUAGUAGAAGCGUGUGCAACAUACACAUACCCACGUAGGAUUGGAAUCCUUUUAAUUUCUUAUUUGUGAUUUUUUUUUCUUUUAAAUUUAGCUUACUGCUUUAGAAAAACACUAAGGAGGGCCUGUUCUACUUACCCUGAUACGAAAUCUCACCUGUGACCGUGGUGAAAGGGUAGGAACUGGGGUACUGUUCUAAACUGAGAUAUUGAUUAAUCAACAUUUGGAAUGAACUCCAAGUGAUCUGUAUGCUUCUUUUGCCUACUAGAAAAUUUUAUUUACUACAAAGUUCCCAAAAGAGGAUCAUGCCUAUAAGAACUCUCCAAAUUGGAAAGCUGUGACUUUUUGUGGUGUGCUUUCUUUACACACUAUACUCUACCUAGAGCUGCCACCAUCUCUCGGUCUUGGCUCUGUUUAAAAAAAAAAAAAAAAAAGAACGGCUUCUCCCAGUCCUUUGUUACAGAUUUCCCAGGCGUCUCUGGGUUGGAUUCAGCUAAUCCUUUCGUUGGAAUUGUUUUUCUCUACUCUUGAUACUUGAAGGACAUCUUGGUAGAUGUAAAAUCCUUGGCUUGGGGAGGGUGUGAAGCCUGCUGAGUAAAAUGCCCACCCCACACUGGAGUGCCUGGGUUCCAUUCUGGCUCUGGCUGCUCCCGCGCGUUUCCUGUUAGUGCAGCCUCUGAGAGGCAGCAGCGAUGGCUGGGUCCCUGUCACUCCUAUAGGAGUUCUGGAUUAUGUUUCCUGCUCCUGGUUUUGGCCUUGCCCAGCCCUGACAACUGUGGGUAUUUUUGGGGGUGAAAUGGCAGAUGGGGGGCUGGCACUGUGGUGUAACGGGUUAAAGCCCUGGCCUGGGGUGCUGGCAUCCCAUAUGGGCGCCGGUUCUAGUCUCGGCUGCUCCUCUUCCAAUCCAGCUCUCUGCUAUGGCCUGGGAAAGCAGUAGAAGAUGGCCCACGUCCUUGGGCCCCUGCACCCGCGUGGGAGACCUGGAGGAAGCUCCUGGCUCCUGGCUUUGGAUUGGAGCAGCUCUGGCCAUUGCAGCUGUCUGGGGAGUGAACCAUCGGAUGGAGGACUUCUCUCUCUGGCUCUACCUCUCUCUGUAACUCUGUCAAAUGAAUAUAAUGAAUUAAAAAAAAAAAAAAGAAAUGGCAAAUGGGAAUUUUUUCAGUUUAUAGCUCUCAAAUAAAUUUAAACAAAUUAAAUUACAAUCCUUGGUUUGCACUUUCCUUACAUUUCUCGGCCACGCUGCUCUGCUCUUGCCUUGCUUUGUCUGUUGCUUCGGAAAAUUCUUUUCCUUUUAAAAGAUUUUUUUUUUUUUUUGCCUGAGACUUUCACAAGUUUUUUUAAAGUUUAAUUGUUCUACGAAAGUAUGUCCCAAAGUCGAUGGUUUUGGUUCUUAUUCUGUGUACUUGGUGCACCUUUCUGGGGUGGUAAUUCAUGCUUUUCUUAUUCUUGGAAAUUUCUUUUUGUUAAUUUUCUUUUCCCUCCCUCCUUUUCCUUUUCCUUCCUCUGGGCUUCAGUAAUGUAAAAGUUGGAAUUUUUCUGAUCAGAUUUACUUUUCAGCAACUUUGUCUCUGAACUUUUAAAAUUUCCCUCUUUUAAAAAAAACUUUAUUCUUUUGGGUGCUUCUUUUUUUUUUUUUUUUUUUUUUUUAGCAGUAUUUGCUAGUUUUUAAGUUUGAAUUUGUUCUCACCUGAGUGUGCUGUUAUUUAAUCUGUAUUUCUGCUAUUAUUUUCUUCCUUCUUUAACUCGAUCUACCCAAUUGCAUUCUCAUUCUUUUAUUUAUUUUUAGAAUUUAUGAUUUAAAAAUGUCUUCCCUCUCCCUAAAGUCUUCCAUGAAGCUGCUUAAUUCAGUGGGGAUGGUUGUACUAACAUUUCUUCUGCAUCAGGACUGUAUUUGGGGUAGAAUUUUUCAUCAGUGGGUUGUUUGGGGUCAUAUUUUCUGUAUUAGGAAGUUGUAUGUGGAUAUGUUUUGAUUUUUUUCCCACGCAUUUUAUGGACAGGGUCCUAGAACAAGGCGCUCUCUGCGUCAGUUCAGUAAAAUGCAGUGCAUUUAAUGUGCGAUGUUGGUGAUGAGAGAGGUGGAAAUGUCCCGUCUGCCCUUCGCUCCCUUAUCUCCAAGGGGCACCGCCCUUCUGCUGUCAGUCUGACUUCCCUGCCUUUUCCACUGUGCAUCUGACUUCAACACCACUGCUCCUCCCCUUGAUCACCUUAGAGACCCUUGACAAAGUCGGUGCUGUGAAUGACCAAGUCCAAGACCUGCGUCCGGCUUUUUGACACACGGCAUUAGAUGGUUUCUUCCCAGGAGGGUUUUGUGUUGGAUUCUGGUUUUAUCUUCUUUUACCCACUCUUCACAAACAACAGCUUGCGGCAGUGACUGAAAUUCAUGAUGUUCUUUGUCUCCUUUUGUGUGAUUUUAUUUGUGCUUGCUGGUGCUUCAGUAGUUUGCAGAAUAACGUGCAUGUAGGCCUGGAUUCAAGUGACUGUCAUUUUCCUAACGACCUGAAAACUCCCAGAGAGCUUUUUGUUAUUGAUUUCCAAUUUUAUUCCCUUUAAGUCAGAAAACAUAUGGUUUAUGAUGACAAUCUUUUCACUUUUUUAUUUUUUGUUCCACCUUAUGAUUUAUAUAGGCAUAUAUUCCAUGAGCUGUUGAAAAGAAUAUGCAUUCUGCCAGUCAGGUGUAACGUUCUAUUAACAUUUGUCAACUGGAUUCAAUUGUUUGAAUUGAUAUCUUUUAUAAUAUUUUAUAUAUUUUUAGUUUUCUUGUCAAUUGCAGAGAAAUGAGAGAGACCAUCUCCAAGUAUAAUGGUGUAUUUGUCUAUUUACUUGAAAUGCAGAGUCACAGAGAGGGGGAGACGGAGAAAUCCUCUCUCUGUCUGCUGGUUCACUCCCUGGAUGGGCCCCAACAGCCAGGGCUGGGCUUGGCUGAAGCUGGGAACCAGGAGAUUCAGAUGGCUGUACCACAUGGGCGACAGCGGCGCAAGCUCUCUAUUAUUAGGAAAUACAUUUUUUUUUUUUACCCAUGGCAAUAUUUCUUGUCUUGAAGUCAUUGACAUUAAUAUAGCUACCCCAGCUUUCCUCUAAUUAAUGGAGUGGAUAUCCUAUAUUUCCUAUUAAUAUAUCCUAUAAUUAAUGGUGUGAUAUCAUCUUUCCUUUAUACUUCCAAUGAUUUUGUAUUUAACCAUUUUGUACUUUAUUCCUUACCAUUUUGUCUAUUUUCUGGCUUAAAUAAUUUUGUGUUUACACUUGGGUCCUGUGAAUAACAUUGCUGAGUUGAAGAAACCUACUGGUAUUUGAAAGGUGCAGAGACACAGAGAGUGACAGAGAGCUCCCGUCUGCUGGGGUGCAGACCCAGCAUUGAGCCAUCACCUGUUUCCUCCCAAGACACCCACUAAAACAAGCAGAUUUGUUGCCUUACAUGAGCUAGCAUUUCUAUGUCAACGUUUCCUGGCGACGAGAUGUUUGCUACCUUGAGUGAAUUGAAUGCUUCUGCAUCUAGGAUUUAAUUUGAUGAGGGCAGUUGUUAUCAAAACAGCAUGGUACUGGUACAGAAACAGAUGGAUAGACCAAUGGAACAGAAUAGAAACACCAGAAAUCAAUCCAAACAUCUACAGCCAACUUAUAUUUGACCAAGGAUCUAAAACCAAUUCCUGGAGCAAGGACAGUCUAUUCAAUAAAUGGUGCUGGGAAAACUGGAUUUCCACGUGCAGAACCAUGAAGCAAGACCCCUACCUUUCUCCUUACACAAAAAUUCACUCAACAUGGAUUAAAGACUUAAAUCUACGACCCGACACCAUCAAAUUAUUAGAGCAUUGGAGAAACUCUGCAAGAUAUAGGUACCGGCAAAGACUUCUUAGAAAAGACCCCAGAAGUACAGGCAGUCAAAGCCAAAAUUAACAUUUGGGAUUGCAUCAAAUUGAGAAGUUUCUCUACUUCAAAAGAAACAGGAAAGUGAAGAGGCAACCAACAGAAUGGGAAAAAAUAUUUGCAAACUACGCAACAGAUAAAGGGUUGAUAACCAGAAUCUACAAUGAGAUCAAGAAACUCCACAACAUCAAAACAAACCACCCACUAAAGAGAUGGGCCAAGGACCUCAAUAGACAUUUUUCAAAAAAGGAAAUCCAAAUGGCCAACAGGCACAUGAAAAAAUGUUCAAGAUCACUAGCAAUCAGGGAAAUGCAAAUCAAAACCUCAAUGAGGUUUCACCUCACCCCAGUUAGAAUGGCUCACAUUCAGAAAUCUACCAACAACACAUGCUGGAGAGGAUGUAGGGAAAAAGGGACACUAACCCACUGUUGGUGGGAAUGCAAACUGGUUAAGCCGCUAUGGAAUUCAGUCUGGAGAUUCCUCAGAAACCUGAAUAUAACCCUACCAUACAAUCCAGCCAUCCCACUCCUUGGAAUUUACCCAAAGGAAAUGAAAUUGGCAAACAAACAAGCUGUCUGCACCUCAAUGUUUAUUGCAGCUCAAUUCACAAUAGCUAAGACCUGGAACCAACCCAAAUGCCCAUCAACAGUAGACUAGAAAAAGGAAUUAUAGGACAUGUACUCUAUAGAAUACUAUACAGCAGUCAAAAACAAUGAAAUCUGGUCAUUUGUAACAAGAUGGAAGAAUCUGGAAAACAUUAUGCUGAGUGAAUUAAGCCAGUCCCAAAGGGACAAAUAUCAUAUGUUCUCCCUGAUCGGCGACAACUAACUGAGCACCAAAGGGGAAACCUGUUGAAGUGAAAUGGACACUAUGAGAAACAGUGACUUGAUCAGCUCUUGUCCUGUUGAUGUACAAUGUAAUACUUUAUCCAUUUUGGUAUUUUCUCUUUGUUUUGUUCUAGUACUAUUGGUUGAACUCUGUAAUUAACACACAAUUAUUCUCAGGUGUUU